rnacentral:rRNA from 1 species
UGUGAGCUCGAUGAGUAGGGCGGGACACGUGGUAUCCUGUCUGAAUAUGGGGGGACCAUCCUCCAAGGCUAAAUACUCCUGACUGACCGAUAGUGAACCAGUACCGUGAGGGAAAGGCGAAAAGAACCCCGGCGAGGGGAGUGAAAAAGAACCUGAAACCGUGUACGUACAAGCAGUGGGAGCACGCUUAGGCGUGUGACUGCGUACCUUUUGUAUAAUGGGUCAGCGACUUAUAUUCUGUAGCAAGGUUAACCGAAUAGGGGAGCCGAAGGGAAACCGAGUCUUAACUGGGCGUUAAGUUGCAGGGUAUAGACCCGAAACCCGGUGAUCUAGCCAUGGGCAGGUUGAAGGUUGGGUAACACUAACUGGAGGACCGAACCGACUAAUGUUGAAAAAUUAGCGGAUGACUUGUGGCUGGGGGUGAAAGGCCAAUCAAACCGGGAGAUAGCUGGUUCUCCCCGAAAGCUAUUUAGGUAGCGCCUCGUGAAUUCAUCUCCGGGGGUAGAGCACUGUUUCGGCAAGGGGGUCAUCCCGACUUACCAACCCGAUGCAAACUGCGAAUACCGGAGAAUGUUAUCACGGGAGACACACGGCGGGUGCUAACGUCCGUCGUGAAGAGGGAAACAACCCAGACCGCCAGCUAAGGUCCCAAAGUCAUGGUUAAGUGGGAAACGAUGUGGGAAGGCCCAGACAGCCAGGAUGUUGGCUUAGAAGCAGCCAUCAUUUAAAGAAAGCGUAAUAGCUCACUGGUCGAGUCGGCCUGCGCGGAAGAUGUAACGGGGCUAAACCAUGCACCGAAGCUGCGGCAGCGACGCUUAUGCGUUGUUGGGUAGGGGAGCGUUCUGUAAGCCUGUGAAGGUGUACUGUGAGGUAUGCUGGAGGUAUCAGAAGUGCGAAUGCUGACAUAAGUAACGAUAAAGCGGGUGAAAAGCCCGCUCGCCGGAAGACCAAGGGUUCCUGUCCAACGUUAAUCGGGGCAGGGUGAGUCGACCCCUAAGGCGAGGCCGAAAGGCGUAGUCGAUGGGAAACAGGUUAAUAUUCCUGUACUUGGUGUUACUGCGAAGGGGGGACGGAGAAGGCUAUGUUGGCCGGGCGACGGUUGUCCCGGUUUAAGCGUGUAGGCUGGUUUUCCAGGCAAAUCCGGAAAAUCAAGGCUGAGGCGUGAUGACGAGGCACUACGGUGCUGAAGCAACAAAUGCCCUGCUUCCAGGAAAAGCCUCUAAGCAUCAGGUAACAUCAAAUCGUACCCCAAACCGACACAGGUGGUCAGGUAGAGAAUACCAAGGCGCUUGAGAGAACUCGGGUGAAGGAACUAGGCAAAAUGGUGCCGUAACUUCGGGAGAAGGCACGCUGAUAUGUAGGUGAAGUCCCUCGCGGAUGGAGCUGAAAUCAGUCGAAGAUACCAGCUGGCUGCAACUGUUUAUUAAAAACACAGCACUGUGCAAACACGAAAGUGGACGUAUACGGUGUGACGCCUGCCCGGUGCCGGAAGGUUAAUUGAUGGGGUCAGCGCAAGCGAAGCUCUUGAUCGAAGCCCCGGUAAACGGCGGCCGUAACUAUAACGGUCCUAAGGUAGCGAAAUUCCUUGUCGGGUAAGUUCCGACCUGCACGAAUGGCGUAAUGAUGGCCAGGCUGUCUCCACCCGAGACUCAGUGAAAUUGAACUCGCUGUGAAGAUGCAGUGUACCCGCGGCAAGACGGAAAGACCCCGUGAACCUUUACUAUAGCUUGACACUGAACAUUGAGCCUUGAUGUGUAGGAUAGGUGGGAGGCUUUGAAGUGUGGACGCCAGUCUGCAUGGAGCCGACCUUGAAAUACCACCCUUUAAUGUUUGAUGUUCUAACGUGGACCCGUAAUCCGGGUUGCGGACAGUGUCUGGUGGGUAGUUUGACUGGGGCGGUCUCCUCCUAAAGAGUAACGGAGGAGCACGAAGGUUGGCUAAUCCUGGUCGGACAUCAGGAGGUUAGUGCAAUGGCAUAAGCCAGCUUGACUGCGAGCGUGACGGCGCGAGCAGGUGCGAAAGCAGGUCAUAGUGAUCCGGUGGUUCUGAAUGGAAGGGCCAUCGCUCAACGGAUAAAAGGUACUCCGGGGAUAACAGGCUGAUACCGCCCAAGAGUUCAUAUCGACGGCGGUGUUUGGCACCUCGAUGUCGGCUCAUCACAUCCUGGGGCUGAAGUAGGUCCCAAGGGUAUGGCUGUUCGCCAUUUAAAGUGGUACGCGAGCUGGGUUUAGAACGUCGUGAGACAGUUCGGUCCCUAUCUGCCGUGGGCGCUGGAGAACUGAGGGGGGCUGCUCCUAGUACGAGAGGACCGGAGUGGACGCAUCACUGGUGUUCGGGUUGUCAUGCCAAUGGCACUGCCCGGUAGCUAAAUGCGGAAGAGAUAAGUGCUGAAAGCAUCUAAGCACGAAACUUGCCCCGAGAUGAGUUCUCCCUGACUCCUUGAGAGUCCUGAAGGAACGUUGAAGACGACGACGUUGAUAGGCCGGGUGUGUAAGCGCAGCGAUGCGUUGAGCUAACCGGUACUAAUGAACCGUGAGGCUUAACCUU